rnacentral:lncRNA from 10 species
CCUGGCUCCUCCCUUUCCUUCCUUCUACUCCCCCUUCUCCUUCCAGCCCUCCCCUCCUCCCUUCCAGCCUCCUCUCCCUCCCCCAUCCACUCUUCCUUCUUCCUUCUCCCUGCUCCCCUCUCCUCUGCUUCCUCCGUUUCUCCUUCCCCCUCCUCCCCUCCCCUCGGUGCUAACAGCUGUAAUUGCUGUUUCUCCCACCUCCCUAACAAGCACGGGACCCUCCGAGCAGAGCCGCCCGCAGUUCCGCUCAGUAAUCGCCUCCAUGAGAGGGCGCCUCUCAUUCCCUGGAGAAAAACCAAAGAACCACCCGCCCCCAGCUCUCAGAGGGGAAUAGAAGAUGGAGGAGUUUGGUCAAGGACUUUCAACUUCAGGAAGGAGCUCAACGCAGCCAGCACCUUGAUCGGCACCGUGGGAGAAGGUGGAAAGAGGACCCAGUCAAGCCACUCCUGAGCCACGGAAGCCGGGAGACAGUGCCUGCGUGUUGCUCCACAGGAAACCAGGAAACUUAUCAAGCACCCGCUUUCCAGAUGGGGAAAUCAAGGACCGGAGUUUCAAGGGAAUUCUCCUAGAGAACCCAGAGGGGUUCUCAUCACCGUCCGUAAUGCCAUAUUUUCUCCUGGAAGUUUUUGGCUUUGUACCUAUUCUUCUCUCUCCUGGACUAUGAACUUUGAGGAGGCAGGGGCCCGAUCUGUCCCGGCCGGUGGCCCCAGCAUCCAGCACAGAGCCUGGGGCACAGCAGGUGCAUGGUGACUGGGGGCUGGGUGAGUGAGUGAGUGAAUGAAUGAAUGCAUGAAUGAAGGAGUGAAUGCACAGAGGCCCCUGCCUUCCUGCCUCCCCGUCGCCAUGAGAGAAAGGAAGCAAAAUUUCAAACAACUCAAAGAUGUAUCAGCCUGGAGCCGCGGGAAACACCAGCUCCCCUGGCAGGGUGCAUCGACCCACGGUGGGGCGGGCAGGCGUCCGGCUUUGUGCAGGCGGAGGUAGGAGGGCUCGAGAUGGGGAGGGGGGCUGCACCAACCCGCUCGGUGGCGAUCAAAACGCGCCCCCACUCCCUGCCUGGGCUUCAGCGGCCAAGUGCAUGGGGUCUGCCGAUGGAGGCUGCGGGGGCUGGAGGGGGGCGAACAGCUUCUGCAGCGGCCAGGACAGAAAAGCUCUCUCUCCCGACACACAAAAGCAGGAAGGCCACAUUAAGCCCAUUAUCAAUAUUUUGCCUGGAAAAAAUACAAAAAGCAUUUUCUUCUCUGAAAAAUUAAUAACCUCGAAAGGUGGGGAGGCUGGGUUUGAUGUCUGGUGAGUGGAGGGGGGGGUUGGUGAGGCUUUGCUUUCUGCCUCCCUCGCCGCUCGCCCCGUGGGUGCCUGGGUCCCUCUGGGCAGGCCCGGCUCCUCCAGCCCACCUCCAACUGCCACCACCUGCUCCUAGUCCUGGCUGAGGCCCCAGCAAACCUUGGGCUGUGAGCCGGGCUCACCAGCCUGGCUCCAAGCCUGGGUCUUCCAGAUCCACCAUUACAGUCCCCUCUGAGGAGGUGGCAUCCCCCAACCUGAGCCCAGGUGUCAGCCCCUCUCGACUCUGUCCACAUGGGCCAUGUUCUCCUAGCUCUUGCUAAGAAACUCCUACUCUACCUGCAGAACCCAGCUUCAAUGCCCACUCUACCGCAGGGCCUUUACUUCCUCUUCCCCUAGACUCAGGUCUCUCCCUCUGGCCCAGUUCUGGGUCCCUUGUCUUCCCUGACCCUGGGGGGGCUUCCUGGGGGCUCUGGCUCUCUUCCAGGACCUCAGCAACACCCUGCACAGUGCACCAUUAUAAUUUGGAGAAUGGAUGGGGCUCCUUUUUUUUAUUUUUUUGAGACGAAGUUUCACUCUUGUUGCCCAGGCUGGAGUGCAAUGGCACGAUCUCAGCUCACCACAACCUCUGCCUCCCGGGUUCAAGCGAUUCUCCUGCCUCAGCCUCCAGAGUAGCUGGGAUUACAAGCGCCUGCGACCACGCCCAGCUAAUUUUUUGUAUUUUUAGUAGAGACGGGGUUUGUCCAUGCUUGCCAGGCUAGUUUCGAACUCCUGACCUCAGGUGAUCCGCCUGCCUUGGACUCCCAAAGUGCUGGAAUUACAGGCGUGAGCUGCCGCGCCUGACUGGGGCUCCUUUUGGUGGGUGGAAGUCUUCCUUGGAAGCCCCCUUCCCUCCUGGCCUCCUCUUGCCCAUGAGGCCCUUCAUCCUGGAGAGAAGAUUCUGGAAUCUGGCUGGUGGGAGGGGCAUAAUUCUUCUCAGGCCUCAGGUUCCAUUUUAAUAAAACUAGGGGGUUGGAUCUGAUUUUAAAUUUUGAAAUGAU